rnacentral:lncRNA from 1 species
CUGAGCUAUAUCCCCAGCCCCUGAUAUCUUUUCACUGAACAUUAUGUUUGUGAGACUCAUUCAUGUUGUUGCUAUUGUUCAUUUUCUUUGCUGUAUGUGUUUGUACUACAAGUAUUUAUUAAGUCCACUGUAGUUGGCUACUGGGGUUGUUUUCAGCUUGGGGCUAUUUUAGAUGAUGCUGUAGUAAACAUUCUACACAGUACCCUUGUUCAUGUUUAUCUUAAUCCAUUAAAAUACAAUAAACUGGGUGGCUUUUAACAAGAAAUUUAUUUCCCACAGUUCUGGAGGCUUGAUGUACAAGAUCAAGUGCCAGCAUGAUUGGGCUCUGGUGAGAUCUUUUGGUGCUUGCAGACUGUCAGCUUCUCCCUCUGUCGUUAUAUGGUGGGAGGAGCAAGCAGAAUUCCUCAGGCCUCUUUUAUAAGGAUACUAAUCCCAUUCAUGACCCACUCACCUCCUAAAGUCCCCACCUCUUAGUACCAUUGCCUUGGAGGGUUAUGAUUUCAAUGUGAGAAUUUUGAGGGGACAGAAACAUUCAGACCAUAGAAGUAGUGUGGGAUAUAGCAAUACAGAAAGUGUGGGAUAGCUUCCUCAUAGGAAAUACAAAUAUUCAUUCUUUUGUUUACAAAUAGUUUUCAAAUGUUGGUUGUACAAAUUUACACUUC